AUGAAUGCUGGCGGCGUGUCUAAGGCAUGCAAGUCGUGCGGAUCGUUUUCUGUCGCAAGACAGGAGACGGUUAGCGGCAAACGGGUGAGUAACACAUUGGUAACCUGCCUCGAAGUCGGGCAUAACUCGCCGAAAGGCGAACUAAUUCCACGAUGAGGAUGGGGGGACGCAAGUCAUUCCCAUCUAAAGCGCAAAACGCGCUUCGAGAGGGGCCUAUGGCCUAUCAGCUAGUUGGUGAGGUAACGGCCCACCAAGGCUAUGACGGGUAGGGGAUGUGAGAGCAUGAUCCCCCUCACUGGGACUGAGACACUGCCCAGACACCUACGGGUGGCUGCAGUCGAGAAUAUUCCCCAAUGGGCGAAAGCCUGAGGGAGCGACGCCGCGUGUGGGAUGAAGGCCUUCGGGUCGUAAACCACUUUUGCCGAGGAAGAACUAUGACGGUACUCGGAGAAUAAGAGGUUGCUAACUCUGU
rnacentral:rRNA from 1 species